rnacentral:rRNA from 1 species
GGGGGGGGGUGGGGGGGGGGGGGGGGGGGGGGGGGGGGGCGGGGGGGGCGGGGGUUGGGCGGCUGGAGGAGUGGCGAACGGGUGAGUAACACGUGAGCAAUCUGCCCCUGACUCUGGGAUAAGCGCUGGAAACGGCGUCUAAUACUGGAUACGAGCUGCGAAGGCAUCUUCAGCAGCUGGAAAGAAUUUCGGUCAGGGAUGAGCUCGCGGCCUAUCAGCUUGUUGGUGAGGUAAUGGCUCACCAAGGCGUCGACGGGUAGCCGGCCUGAGAGGGUGACCGGCCACACUGGGACUGAGACACGGCCCAGACUCCUACGGGAGGCAGCAGUGGGGAAUAUUGCACAAUGGGCGAAAGCCUGAUGCAGCAACGCCGCGUGAGGGACGACGGCCUUCGGGUUGUAAACCUCUUUUAGCAGGGAAGAAGCGAAAGUGACGGUACCUGCAGAAAAAGCGCCGGCUAACUACGUG